UUUCCGUAGGUGAACCUGCGGAAGGAUCAUUAAUGAGUUGUCAUGGGGUUCGAUGCUGGCAGCCAAUUUUUGGAUGCAUGUGCUUGCCCUAACAAUCAUCUUCCAAACACCUGUGCACAUUUUUGAGGGAGUCUUGAGUUGGUUGCCGCUCUUGGGUGAUUUUCUCACAUUCCCUUAAUCAUUAUACGCUAUUAACAAUGUUGAACGUGCUCUGUGCCGCAAGGCUAUUAAUAUAAUACAACUUUUAACAACGGAUCUCUUGGCUCUC
rnacentral:misc_RNA from 1 species